rnacentral:lncRNA from 1 species
UCUUUCAUAUACAUGUCUCUUUCAUUUAUUAUUAUUGCUACUGUAUUUUCUACUGAUCCGUACUGUUGUUUAGCUCUUCCUGAUCCGGUGAAUACUCCUCGCCUUCAUCGGCUUGCGGUACCUACUGGGAGGGGAGACAUGUUUACAUGUUCUCACCUCCCCCACUAUUUUUCAGGUAUCGCGGGCGGUGAGGGUUGAGACGAGACGUGAGAUACGUACGUAGCGGUCUAUAGAGCUUUCAACCCAGGUUAUUCGGUUUAGUUUCUACCCUUACUAUCCUGUUGAUAUAGCUUAGAUAGUUUAUAUGGUUCAGUUUUUGGGUAUUUCAGUUAACUAUCAUAUUUUGAUUUGGCUUUAUGAAUGUAAUAAAAAGGAUUCGUGGUUUUCAUAAUUAAAAGAUUUUCUACCCCCCGUGGUAACGUUUUUAAAGAAUAAGGUUUCCGUGUAGGAAACAGUUUUCAAAGGAUUUUCUGUGGAUUUAUGUUUAAAUAUUGAAUGUAUAACUGUGAUGUGAAUGGUGAAUGAAUGAUUGCAUAGUCGUUUCUAUAUUCAUUUGGUUGUGGUUGUACUUGGGUUACUUCUUGUACUUGUGCGACGCCGUGCAAAUACAGGGGAGACUCUGUCCGUGUGAACAGUGGAUUUCCUGUAUUUGUGGCGGAUUUGGCAUUCCCUGGGGUUAGGUUUUCGAAAAAGAAAAAAAAAAUUUCCGCAGUGUUUUUAA